GCGGCUCAUGGUCUUCAUCUUCUGCUUCACCGGUGUACGCUGGGCGCCACCUGUAGAUCAGAGACGGGAAAUGAUGAGAAAAAGCUGCUGCUUUCCCUCAGGUCGAAUUCUUAAAAAAACUGGAAUUAUUUUUCUAUUUUCUCUGCUUUUACAAAUAUCACACAUUUGAUCAAAAUAUAUGCAAAAAACUGAGUUGAGGUUUUCUCACGUUUCUUCUUGCCCCUCUUGGCAUCUGCCCCCCUGGAUGUUUGAUACAAGUCAGCCAGACCACCGAUCAGCUCCUGCUGUACGACAGACAACUCCCCCUCUUCUUUUGGCUCUGGCACUGCAUCCAGCAACCUGCAACAAAGAAGUGAAGUCUUACCUCAUCGACUCCAUUAAAUGGGAACUCACUCCCGACUGGUCUGACUGAGGGAACCAACACUCCAACACGCCUGUUGUCAGCGGGCAAUGGCUGACUUCCUGCUGAGCCCACUCAGGUACCUUAUGAUCCUCAGUGUCACAAUCCUCCGCCAUGAUGUCAUACACUACACCCAGGACACUGCUCACAACAUCGGGCAGUUCAGCCAAGGUUUCUGCUGUGGCAGGGGCAAUGAUUUCACUGGUUAGGAUCUGCUCGUUCUGGGCGACUCCAGACUGGAGAAUGAGCACGAGACGACAGCUCCAUCAGGAGGUGCUGGAGGGCAGCAGCAGCUCCCUGCUCCUCACUGCCGCUUGAGCACUGAAGCAGCCACGACUCUGUGGAGGUCUGCGUCAGUGAAGAGGCAUCCCAGUCCUGCAGAACUGCUUUCAGACACACUUCCACCCACUCUGGGAGAAGCCGGUGUCUGCGAGACACUGGCUCAAUCAUGA